GGUAAAAUACAGAUAAGUUGAAUUUGACUACCCAACAUUUUAAAAUUCUAUUUUUACUUAUCCUACUUUUCAAGUUGUUUAAUUUGAGUUAGUCAAUUGAACUUUCGACUCUAAAAUUUAAAUUAAUUAUUUAUUUUAAUAAACUAACAGUUAUAAAAAUUAUAUAAAAUAAACUAAUUAAACUAGUAAAGAUAAACGACGCAUUCAUAUUUUAAAGUUAAAGUAUCGUUGACUGAUUGAAAUCAAAUAAAUAAAAAAUUAGAUAAUAAGUUAAAAUAUAUUAAAUAGUUAGAUUUAAAUAAUUUAUAAUUGUGAUAAUUAAGUUUCAUAGAUUUUUACCUAAAA
rnacentral:lncRNA from 1 species